GAGCGGCGGCGGCGGAGGUGGCGACGGCGGCGGCGGAGGCGGUGAGCGCGGGCGCGGACGGCUGCGCGUGGGGCGGCGCGGGUGCAACCGCUGUUGGACCGCCGCGGCCACCUCGCCCUCCGCACCGGGCUCGGGGACGCCGUGCUGGGGAGGCGGGGCGCUGGGGCACAUCGCGUCAGACCUUCAAGUACUUUGUUUGUGCCAAAUCAUUACUGCUUACCACAUGAGUCUAAAUCAUGAUGGAUGCCAAGUAUGUCCUCUGCAGAUGGAAAAAGCGAUUAUGGCCUGCAAAGGUCUUGGCCGGAACUGAGAAGUCAGCCAAAAAUAAGAGAAAAAAGGAAUUUUUUCUAAACGUUCAGAUACUUUCCCUAGACAAAAAAAUUAAGGUGAAAAGCACGGGAGCCCAGAUCCUGAAGAAGUCUCACAUCGAAGGCAUCGCUUCCUCGUUAGCCUUGCAGAACGAGGUUGCUGCCACGCCCCUGGAGGAGCUGGCCUACAGGCGGUCGCUCCGCGUGGCUCUGGAUGUUUUGAAUGAGAGGACCCGUCCGCGUCAAGGAAGCUCUUCCAGGGAAGAGAGGACCACUCAGUCUCUGAGAGUGAAGCCCACGGAACCGGCCUCCUCGCUCUGCCACUCCAGCCCUUCGCCUUUGCUCCACGAAGAUGCGUUGGGCAGUCCUGGGCACACGAGGAGGGAACGUGCGCCCCAGAGGCUGUCCGGCCUGCCCGCUCGCAAGGAGGACCCCGGGUGCAGAGUGGACCACAAGAAGGGGCUCGGGAGAAGCGGAGGCCUGCGCGCCCGAGCUGUCUCCUUGGCCGGCAGUGGUGCUCAGGACGGACGGGGAUCCAGAAAACACCGGGCAAACCGGACGGUGAACCGGACAACGACACCGAGUAAACGGGAGAGGAACCUAGCACGGGGGCCCAGCUGGGGUCAGGAAGCGCCUCCGUCCUCAGAGGGAGCUCGGGAGGAAGAGAGUGAGAUGGUGGCCGGCCUGGCAGCCCUGCGCUCCUCUCCCGGAGGUGGGGCCGAGGGUCCUCGGGGCGGCCCCAGUGCCCGUGGCCACCCUGCCCAGCACCUGUGCCCGGACAGCGGCCAGAGGCCGGGGCCCCGCAUGGCUCCGCGCAGCCCCACUCAGCUCGGCCCCGCAGAGGAGACCAGAGACGCCCGGCUCCUGGAGGGAGCCCGUCCACCUUCUGAAGAGUCAGUGGAGUUGGACGCCAUGAACUCUCUCCUGGCAGAGGACGAGGAGGACGAGGAGCCCCCGAGAAUCCUCCUAUACCGUGAACCACGUUCGUUUGAAGUAGGAAUGCUAGUCUGGCUUAAAUACCAAAAAUACCCCUUCUGGCCCGCAGUGGUCAAAAGCGUCAGGCGAAGAGAUAAGAAAGCGAGUGUGCUUUUCAUUGAAGGAAACAUGAACCCCAAAGGGAGAGGCAUCACGGUGUCUCUCCGGCGACUGAAGCACUUUGAUUGUAAAGAAAAGCAGGCGCUUCUGGACGAGGCCAAGGAGGAUUUCGACCAGGCCAUCGGCUGGUGCGUCUCCCUCAUCACCGACUACAGGGUCCGACUGGGCUGUGGUUCCUUCACAGGCUCUUUCCUGGAAUACUACGCGGCUGAUAUAAGCUCCCCCGUCCGCAAGUCCAUCCAGCGGGACGUCCAGGGGACCAGGUUUCCCCCGCUGAGCGGGGUGGGCCCCGAGGAGGCCUCGGCAGGGAACCCGCGGGGCAGGAGGCCGGCCUGCAGGAAGGUGCUCCCUGAUCGCUCGCGGGCCGCCCGGGACCGGGCCAACCAGAAGCUGGUGGAGUACAUCGUGAAGGCGCGGGGUGCCGAGAGCCACCUGCGGGCCAUCCUGAAGAACAGGAAGCCGUCCAGGUGGCUAAAGACGUUCCUGAGCUCGGGUCAGUACGUGACCUGCGUGGAGACCUACCUGGAGGACGAGGAGCAGCUGGACCUGGUGGUGAAGUACCUGCAGGGGGUGUACCAGGAGGCGGGCAGCAGGCUGCUGGCACGCGGGCACGCGGACGGCAUCCGCUUCGUCCUGGACGUGCUUCUGCCCGAGGCCAUCAUCUGCGCGAUUUCCGCUGUGGAUGCUGUGGACUACAAGACGGCUGAGGAGAAGUACAUACGAGGACCUUCACUCAGCUACCGGUAGGCAGGCCGCGCUGCGUCCCGAAGGGCUUCGUCUCCACACACCGGCGGCUGCGGUGGCUGGGCUGAGGGGCCCUGGUCCGAGCGGGCAGAGCUGGGCCCGCCACGCCCUGCGUCCUUCGUGGGGCUGAUGUUUGCCUCCCCAGCGUUCUUCCCCGUUGCCUCGAUGCCACGGCUAUUUGAGGAAACAGUGAGAUUAAGCAGCAGCCGCUGCCCGGACGUCCCUGGCUGGCGGGAAGAAUGCGGUGAUCAAGAUGUUCCUCUCACGUUGCUGUGGUUAGCGCCCUGGACUGGCGGUCUGGAGCCCCUAAUCCUGUCUCUGGGCGGGCUGCCAGGCCUCGCUGGGAGCAGGCGGGGCCGCGUGGCGGUGACAGGCUGAAGACUCAACUAGGGUCUCGUGGUACAGACUGUCCCCAGCCUCAGCGGCUGCCCUGCACACCCAGGAAAAAGAAAUAUUUGAUACGCAGCUCCUGGAAGAAAGGAGCCGGCGAAGCUGAGGCCGGUGGAGGCAAGGCCCUGCGCUCUGGAGCACAGGCGGGCCGUUGGCCUUCCUGACGGCUGCUGCCUCUGUUUUCCUGGCUCUUGUGGAAGGUACAGCUCCUGAAAGGGUUUGAAAGGACAGAGGCAUUUUUUUUUUUUUUUUAACUUUACGUCAUUACCUGUGACUGUACCGUGUAGGUUCACAGAAGGUGCACGUUUGUGUUUUGUGUUGAAAAGCACUGUACCCAACAUUAAACAGGAGCUUUAAAGACUCUGAUACGAACGUA